CUGAUAUCGUGUUUGAUUAUCGUCAGAAAGUGACGAGGUCAUUUGAAUAUCUCCAAGGUGAUUAUUACAUCGCGCCGCUAUUCAUGAAUCCGAUAGGUUUGUGGUCCCAUCUGAACAUGGAAAUACCCAGUGUGGCAACCGCAGAAUAGUUCUCCUCCCUCUGCACUACCUUCAGUUCUGGGAGGUCUUUUAUCUUUGUGGUUAUUGCUGCUGAUACCAAUGGUUGCUGGUCUUCUCCGAUUUGGUUGAGUGUAAUUCUUCAAACAGGCCUUCAAUUUGCACUAUUAAUUCUUUGUUACCUUUCUUCCAUUCUAGCAUGAUCAUUAUGGUAGAGUUCGAAGGAAGACUUAAAUUUUUGCUGGAAGUUUUUCAUGUCUCCCAUGACGCCCAGCUCUUAUACCAAUAUAGAGUCAUGGGUUAACUAAUGUUUAAAUAAGUAGGAUUAGAAUUUAGGGUUCGUUAUAGGGAACUUUUCGUUCUCUAGAGUUAGGUCACUCUAAAAUCUUUAGAGUUGAGGGUGAAAGUAGUAUUAAGAUGGGUGACCUUCUGGGAAGUUCUCUUGUUACACCUAUUUUUUUCGGAGUCUGGUAACGCUGGUUUGUCACCCUAGUGGGGGCUUCAAGGUGGUUGAAGAUUGGUUCGGUCCAAAAGGUUGGGCUUAGGAGGGUUAAAAUGCUUGCCCGCCCAUUCCAAGAGGGGAGUUGAGUUAUGGGUUUUGAGCGUAGGCUUUGGGGCUCACCACUCCUAGAGUGGAGGGGACUACAUAAGGCUGGAAACAAAGCAACGAAAAUCUCCUGCUCUCCUCAAUGGAGGGAUAACAGACUGGUGCUCUCCAAGUCCAGUGACGCCUCAUGGACUGUCCUCAAUAUAACACAACCAUUUUUUGAAAAAAUUAUCUCAAAAAAUUCUUUGAUUGAUGAAAUAACUUACAUAUAUAGACAAAACAACUGCUAAUGGUUUCCCCAAUACUACAGGUUCAAACCAGAUUGCAUUCUCAUCUGCUUUUACAGCCAGGUUUCCUAUUUUAUUUUAUUCUUAAAUAACUCAAUUUCCUUUUCAUUUAUUCCUGAAAAACCAUAUCCCUAUCACAGUUAAAUUUCUUGUUCUAUUUUAUUCAUACAAAACUCAAAUUUCUAUCUUAUUUAUUCCUAAAUAAUUCUAGUUUCCUAUCUUCUUUUCUUCCUAAUAAUUUUUAACUAGAAACUUAAUCUAAAAGCACAAAUGAGUUUAACGUCGCCGUGAUUAUUUGCUUCUUGUCCAUGGAUCCCUCUUCUGUGCUUUUCAUGUUAUGACCAUGACAACAUGUCUCUAACCAUAGAUCAAUAACAUAAUUCUGCUGUGACACAAAUGCCAGCUUCAUUUUUGAUACUUCAGUACCUAAGGAGUCUCUUAAGGAUCUCAAAUCCUCUAGAACUGAGUUUGGAGAACUAGUUUCAUUUAUCAUCAUUUGUAAUAUCAAUUGACACAAUGAACAGGAGCUUCCUAGCCUUGAACUGAUGAUAGGAACCAUAAUGGAAUAUUCAGCUGUUGCAUAAACAAUUAUCACGACCUUACAAUAUGUUGAAUUAAAGGUAACUGGAAUGAAAUGAAAGGAAAGGACGAGAUGGUCAAUGUCCUUUCUCUAGUUUGGCUCGAAAAAUAGUAACUAGUAAAGAAUGAAAUGAAAGGAAAGGAUGAGAUGGUCAUUGUCCUUUCUCUAGUUUGGCUAGAAAAAUAGUGACUAGUAAAGGAUGAAAUGAAAGGAAAUUUUCUAUUUUAACCUUAACUACAUAAUUUGUCAUUUUAUUAACGGAAGGUAAUGUUUACUGUUUUUUUAUAAUUAAUCAUUUUCUCUUCUUUAUAAAACUAAGCCAAACAAAAUAUUGGCGCAGUCAUUUUCUUUUAUUUUCGUUUUCAAUUUUUAGUUAUCCUACUGAAGGAGAUACUAUUCCUUUUAUUUCCUUUAAAAUCGACUUCUUUUUUUCUCUAAUUUUGUCUACAUUCUUUUUGAUAUGUACUAAAACAGAAAAUUAGCAGAUCUUACAAUCCAUCCUACGGGAGCUUGCAUCCGCCUGUACAAGAAUAUUUUUAGCUGUAAUACCUACGAUUUUCUGUGAGCUGAUAAAUCCAGGAGGUUGCUUAAUGGAAUCUCAAUGCAAAAAAUAUGUUCUUGGUGUUGAGUCCAUGUAAAUGCCAGUUAUUAAGUAGCUGCCAAGGAGAUGAAAAUAGGAAAUGAGUUAAGCACCAUUACAGGAGAUAAAGUUUGAAAUAGUCCAUCCUAAUGACGGUACACCUGAGCAUAACCCUCGGCAACUAGCCUAACCUUGAGAUACUUAACGAACCUAUCUGGAUUUGCUUUGACACUGAUUUCCAAUGUCAAAUCACAGUUUCCCCGAUGGGAGUGGGACCUAUUCCGAAAUAUCAUUUGUUCACAAAGCACACAUCUCAUUUUCCAUUUUGUAUCUCAAUCAAUAUGAUAUUUAACUUGCA